rnacentral:rRNA from 1 species
GAUGAACGCUGGCGGCGUGCUUAACACAUGCAAGUCGAACGAAGCAAUUUAACGGAAGUUUUCGGAUGGAAGUUAAAUUGACUGAGUGGCGGACGGGUGAGUAACGCGUGGGUAACCUGCCUCAUACAGGGGGAUAACAGUUAGAAAUGACUGCUAAUACCGCAUAAGCGCACAGGACCGCAUGGUCUGGUGUGAAAAACUCCGGUGGUAUGAGAUGGACCCGCGUCUGAUUAGCUAGUUGGUGGGGUAACGGCCUACCAAGGCGACGAUCAGUAGCCGACCUGAGAGGGUGACCGGCCACAUUGGGACUGAGACACGGCCCAAACUCCUACGGGAGGCAGCAGUGGGGAAUAUUGCACAAUGGGCGAAAGCCUGAUGCAGCGACGCCGCGUGAGCGAAGAAGUAUUUCGGUAUGUAAAGCUCUAUCAGCAGGGAAGAAAAAUGACGGUACCUGACUAAGAAGCACCGGCUAAAUACGUGCCAGCCGCCGCAGUAUAC